rnacentral:rRNA from 1 species
UACGGGGGGAGCAAGCGUUGUUCGGAUUUACUGGGCGUAAAGGGCGCGUAGGCGGCGCAACAAGUCACUUGUGAAAUCUCCGGGCUUAACUCGGAAAGGUCAAGUGAUACUGUUGUGCUAGAGUGCGGAAGGGGCAACUGGAAUUCUCGGUGUAGCGGUGAAAUGCGUAGAUAUCUGGAGGAACACCGGUGGCGAAGGCGGCAUCCUGGACCGGCAUUGACGCUGAGGCGCGAAAGCCAGGGGAGCAAACGGG